GAUGAACGCUGGCGGCGUGCCUAAUACAUGCAAGUCGAGCGAACAGACGAGGAGCUUGCUGCUCUGACGUUAGCGGCGGACGGGUGAGUAACACGUGGAUAACCUACCUAUAAGACGGGGAUAACUUCGGGAAACCGGAGCUAAUACCGGAUAAUAUCUUGAACCGCAUGGUUCAAUGGUGAAAGACGGUGUUGCUGUCACUUAUCGAUGGAUCCGAGCUGCAUUAGCUGGUUGGUAAGGUAACGGCUUACCAAGGCAACGAGGCGUAGCCGACGUGAGGGGGUGAUCGGCCACAUGGGAACUUAGACACGGUCCAGACUCCUACGGGAGGCAGCAGUAGGGUAUCUGCCGCAAUGGGCGAAAGCCUGACGGAGCAACGCCGCGUGAGUGAUGAAGGUCUUCGGAUCGUAAAACUCUGUUAUUAGUGAAGAACAGAUGUGUAAGUAACUGUGCACGUCUUGACGGUACCGAAUCAGAAAGCCACGGCUAACUACGUG
rnacentral:rRNA from 1 species